rnacentral:rRNA from 1 species
GACGAACGCUGGCGGCGCGCCUAACACAUGCAAGUCGAACGAGCGAGAGAGAGCUUGCUUUCUCGAGCGAGUGGCGAACGGGUGAGUAACGCGUGAGGAACCUGCCUCAAAGAGGGGGACAACAGUUGGAAACGACUGCUAAUACCGCAUAAGCCCACGGUGCCGCAUGGCACAGAGGGAAAAGGAGCAAUCCGCUUUGAGAUGGCCUCGCGUCCGAUUAGCUAGUUGGUGAGGUAAUGGCCCACCAAGGCGACGAUCGGUAGCCGGACUGAGAGGUUGAACGGCCACAUUGGAACUGAGACACGGCCCAGACUCCUACGGGAGGCAGCAGUGGGGAAUAUUGCACAAUGGGGGAAACCCUGAUGCAGCGACGCCGCGUGGAGGAAGAAGGUCUUCGGAUUGUAAACUCCUGUUGUUGGGGAAGAUAAUGACGGUACCCAACAAGGAAGUGACGGCUAACUACGUG